CUUCUAUACUUGGGCUUUCUCGGUGUUAAGCAUAAAAUUUCUUCUCUAAACUGAUUCUUUCACUGCCAAUUACUUUUAACUUUGAUUUUGUUGAAGUAAGAAGGAUAAACAUUGGCAAAUUAUAUUGCAUAUUACUCUGUUGUAGUGGUUAGGACUAGGAAAAAUUGCAAAUUAUUGAAGCAAUAUAUAUUGAAACAAGAAAUAUAGUUUCAUAUACCGGUUAGAAGUGGUUAAACUUCUUGAUAUUAGUUUAGAUGACUUUAAAGAUAUACUUUCGGGGGGAAUAAUUGAGAUAUAUCAUGAACUAAUAGUUGGGUGAAGUAGAUUCAAUUUAUUUCUAGGGUUGAAAUUGGUACCUUGUGUUGGCAUUACAAUAUUAUAUCAAAAGAAUAUAAGUUAAUGAUUUUCUAUAAACACCCAAUAAUUUGUUGCUAUUUCUUCUUCUACCAAACAAAUGAAUUGAAUUUUUCAUAAAAUUAAAUAAAUAAAUAAAAUAUUUUCUUCUCUCUUUAAAUUAUAGUUUAGCUUUUAAAAAUAUGGUAAAACAACAUAUUUGCUUUCAAAAAGGGCAUGAUGGUUGAAUCUAUAUAAAUAGUUAAAAAUUAAAAAUUAGACAUGGCAAGUGUCACAUGGUUGAGUUUAUAAUUUUUUAAUAAAUAUAUUGUAUAAUUUUGACUUUAUCCUUCAUAAGUUUGAAAAAAAAAAAAUAUGUAAAGUAAAAUUUUUAAAUACUCAUUUGAUUAAAACUAUAUUAUAGGAUAUACAUAGCAACAUUUUGUCAAAACUCAUUGUUAAGCAAAGGUAAAGCUUACUCAAUGAUAAAGAUGCACUUUAGCUAAUCUAAACUAAGUUAAUUUAUAAUUAAAAAGUAUAUAUGUGCAAGGAAUGUGGUAAUACAAGGAGUAAGAUUGAAUAGGAGUACACAAAGAAUAAUAGCUCCCACAUGAGGAACUUCUUGAUUUUUCAUUAAAUCAUGUGUUAUGUUGUUGUUUUAUCCUUGCAUGUUUUUAGUAUAAAAACUAUUUAUGUGAGUUAAUUUCUCGACAUAAAAAGGAGAGGUUAAGUUAAUAUAUCUAAUUGAUUUGUACUAUCCAAUUUUUUUGAUCAUUUCUUUUUAAUUAAAGGUUUAUUUUGAACUAUAAAAAUAAUAAAUAUAUGAUAGUUAAAUUAAUUUUUUAAGAUUUAAAUAUAUUUAAUGUUAAGUCUAUCUAUUUUGGAUGUUUGAAACAAUGAAUUAUCUUCUCUAAAAAGUAGUUGCUUUAUACUUGAUCAUUAUUCUUUAAACUAAUAUCAUUGUAAUUAUUGGUAAAUCAACUUGUAAAUUGGUUUCAACACCACACAUGACAAAUUAUAGAAAAUGUGGGUUGUUAAGCCCUUAUAGGAAAAAUGGGACCUAACAAUACUAAUGACCUAACAAUACUACUAAUGAACUAACAAUACUAAAUAUACAAAUCUUAACUAACUACUAUAUGUGUUUGAUUUAGGGUUUAUAAAAUAAGAUACCAAAGUGCUUGUAAGAACUCACAACCUCAAAACCAUACAUAUUGAUAACUCUACAUUCAAACUUUAGCAAAAAUGAAAUCG